GCCCAUUUGCCCAAAUGGACUCACCAUGACUUUCUCUAUACUAGCGUUGACAAAUGAAACACACCAAUCUCUUGCUGCUGUUGGUUAUAGAUAGGUAAGCUGGCAGCUCCGAGAAAAGCGAUCAAAACCCUUCAAGAUUUGAUUGAAUCUAGAGAGAAAGAAUAAUGAAUCUUUUGCAGAAGGAACCCACAGCACGUAAGAGGGUUUGAAGGAUUGGUAAAAGACGGAGACGGGAACGAAUGUUAGAGCUGAGCAGCGAGCGACUAUACUGUAUAUAAUAUGGCUGUCGGUGCUAUUAGGGAAACACAAGAAGAGCAA
rnacentral:misc_RNA from 1 species